CUUCCCUCUUUCAGUGAUAUGAAGGAUUCUGAUGAUGAAGGGUUUUCUAAUUGUCUUAAUGGUUGGAUCCCAUGUCAGAGAUGCAACCUUUUCGGUGUUGAAAGAUGUAGCAAAGAAAUCCUGAGGUGAGGAGACAUUACGAGCACACUCUAGCAAUGCUCAAGGAAGAGAAGAAAGAACUAGAAUCACCAUUCCACAAUGAGAAAUUGUUGUCUGCCCAGUUAAAGCAAGAACUAGCAUAUGCAAAGGCUUAAAACAAA